CCCAUAGCUCAGUUGGUUAGAGCAGCGGACUCAUAAUCCGUCGGUCGUAGGUUCGAGUCCUACUGGGCC
rnacentral:tRNA from 1 species